UACGAAGGGGGCUAGCGUUGCUCGGAAUCACUGGGCGUAAAGCGCACGUAGGCGGCUUUCUAAGUCAGGGGUGAAAUCCUGGAGCUCAACUCCAGAACUGCCUUUGAUACUGGAGAGCUAGAGUCCGGAAGAGGUGAGUGGAACUGCGAGUGUAGAGGUGAAAAUUCGUAGAUAUUCGCAAGAACACCAGUGGCGAAGGCGGCUCACUGGCCCGGAACUGACGCUGAGGUGCGAAAGCGUGGGGAGCAAACAGG
rnacentral:rRNA from 1 species